CGCCCCCAGGUGGAGCUGCCAGUCACCGGCGGGCCGGUUCUCGUCCGAGCGGCCCCGGGGCUGGCUGCGCGCGUGGCCGUCGGAGGGCUCUUGCGGCGUCGCUGUCUCCGGAGGGCCGGCGCCCCGUCUGCCAGUGUCUCUUCCCAGGUGCACAGACUUCAGACCGUGCCCUGGCGACUCCGGCCCUGACCCAGAGUCGUCGGCUUGGUGGCCCCGCGGCACUUUAGGUCCGGGCCUCAGCGCGCGCCCCGCCUCCCUCGGCUGCCCCUGGGCGGCGUCAGGUCGGACCCCAUCCUGCGAGGCACACGGUCAGAGUGGUCACCGCUGUUCAUUGCCCAUCGGGCAGGCCACCCCGGGCGGGACCGUGGGCAUGCUUUGAGCCCAUGACGGCACCAGUGCCGGAGCCGGGCGUGUCAGCAGCGCCAGCUUUAUGCGACCUGAAUGUUGAUGGCUUGCAGUGCGAAGACUUCCCCCAAAGCUCUUUUCAGUGCUGCCUAUCUUGGUCUAGUGUGAUCAUGUUUUUCAUCGUUUGGAAUGUGCUGGACCACAGGAAGUGUGUGUUCCCAGGGACUAAAACACAAGCAAGAAACCACAAGAAGUCACAUCGCUCUGGGAGCAUUUGCUGAUCUCAGAAUGUCCUGGACAGUCUCUUAUUGCCUUCCUUUGUGGAGUGAUGAUUUUCCACAGUGGUAAGCUCUGAUUCCCUUCUGUUUCUCCUUUGUGAAUCUACUGUAGGUUUUUGCUUUGUGGUUACCAUGAGGCUUAAAUAAACCACCUUAUAGAUACAACAGUAAGUUUUACACUGAUUACAACUUGACUGCAUACAAAAACUCUACCUUUCCACGUCCUCCCCGGAUGUUUUUGCUGUUACGGUUUACAUCUUCAUGUUCUCUAUAUUCAUACACAAAUGAUCGUAGCUGCAGGUAUUUUGGAUUCUAUUGUCCUUUAACCUUUACACAGAGUUAAGUGGUUAACACAUCACAUUAGAGUAUUAGCAGGAUCCAGAAUCUGACUUUGCCCCCGCACCCUUACCGUGUGUUGUAUGUUUUCCUGUGUAUCCACAUUACUGGUUAGCGUCCUUCCAUUUCAGCUGGAAAAACUCCUUUCUGUGUUUCUUGCAGAGCAGGUCCAGUGGGGAUGAACUCCCUCAGUUUUUGUCUGUCUGGGAUAUCUUUAUCUCCCCUUCAUUUCUGAAGGGCAGCUUUGCCAGGUGGAGGAUUCUAGGUUGGCAGGGUCUUCCUUUGACUAUACCGUACUGCCCUGUCCUGGCCUGUAAGGCUCCUGCAGAGAAAUCUGCUGAUUGCUUGAUGGGGGUAGCUUGUAACUUACAAGCCUCUUUUCUCUUGCUGCUCUUAAGAUUCCCUCUUUGUCCUUGAUUUUUGGCAGUUUUAUUAUAAUGUGUCUUGGAAAGGAUCUCUUCAAGUUGAGUUUGGUGACCCAUGAGCUUCAGGACCUUGAGUGUCCAAAUCUCUCCCCUGAUUUGGGAAGUUCUCAGCCAUUAUUUCUUUUACUUCUUUUAUUUAUUUAUUUAUUUAUUUAUUUAAAGAUUUUAUUCAUUUGACAGAGAGAGACACAGCGAGAGAGGGAACACAAGCAGGGGGAAUGGGAGAGGGAGAAGCAGGCUUCCCGUGGAGCAGGGAGCCCGAUGCGGGGCUCGAUCCCAGGACCCCGGGAUCAUGACCCGAGCCAAAGGCAGACGCCCAACGACUGAGCCACCCAGGCGCCCCACCAUUAUUUCUUUUAAAUAAGCUUUCUGCCGCUUUCUCCCGCUCUCCUUCUCUGGACCUCCAAUAAAUCACAGACUGUUUCUUUUGUUGGUCCCACAGGUCAACCGGGAUUUCUUCACUCUCUCAUCCUCUCUCCUUUGUGUCCUUUGACUGGAUGACGUCCAAGUUCCUGUCCACUUCACGGAUUUUCUUCUGCUACAUCCAUUCUGCUGUGGGUGCUCCCCAUUGCACUUUUCAUUUCAUUCACUGUAUUCUUCAGCUCCAGGAUUUUUUGUUUGGUUCUUGUUUAUGAUUUCCAUCUUUGCUAGGCUUUUCAUUUUGUUCAUAUUUUGUUUUCCUGAUUUUGUUGAAUUGUCUUUUUUGUUUGCUUGUUUUCUUGUAGCUCAUUCCUGAAAACAGCUAUUUUGAAUUAUCAGGUAAAUCACAGGUCUCCAAGUCUUUGGGGGUGGUUGCUAGAAGGUUCUUAUGAUCCUUUGGUGGCAUCAUGUUUCUUUGAUUUUGCAUGUUCCUUGAAGUCUGGUGCUGCUGUGUUCACAUCUCAAGUUGCCAUCCCCUCCUCUGGACUUUACUAACUGCCUUUGGGAGAGAAAUACCUUCCCUCAGCCCUGCUAGGGAUUCUGGGGCGAUCCCAGACCUCGGGUGGAUGUGCCUUCUCCUUGUUUCUUGCUCCCUCUUGUGGCUGAUUCUUAAGCUUGUAUGCCUUCUCUCCACCCCACAAUUAACUAGGUUGAGUGCUGACAGCCUCCCCUUUGUUUCCCCAAGGUGGUGCUCAAGCUGUGGUCUCUCCCUGGCCUGCAGAUUUGGGCCCAUUAUUUGUGCGUGCUCACUAGCUGUUUGCCGAAACUCACUCUUACUGCCAUUGGGAGUGCACACAGGGAGCUGGUCACAGUGUGGGAGUGUGUGGGGGUGAGGUGCAUGGAGCGCUGGGGGUGCCAGUGGGCCAGUUGGGGGAUCUGUGAGCAAGGUGUCCCUAGUGGCUCAAGGGCAGGCUUUUUGAUGGGAGUGUUGGGGUCCCUUUUUUGCCCCUGAGAGUUCUAUUUGCUGCUCUCCUAGCUCUUCCUGCCCCCAGUACUCAUGACCCAUACUCUGGAAGAGUCUAGAGACACAGGUAUCUUUGGCAGCAUCUCACAUGGCUGGGGAAGUCAGGUGCUCACUCACAUGCUCUCGCUUUCCCCUGUGAGAGAAAUCCUGGGCUAAGGAACUCUCUCUUGACGCUAAGCUGUAAGGCCCUGGGGGAGGGAUGAUAUGGGUAAAGUCACACUGUUCCUCUUACCCUCUCCAAUGCACCCAAACUCAUAUAUUUUUUUUGUUGUUCUAACGAUGUGCUGGAAUUUGUCUGCUGGAAACCUGGGCUUCCACAAAAGCUCUUUCCUUUGGGGGGGGAUUGUCUAAGAUGGUGUUUUCCAGGGGCUCCCAGAGCAUGGCCAAGAGGGGGUGGAGCCACUUCAUAGGCCACAGCAAGCUUCACAGGUGGGACCAAAGUCUGUGUGCCUAUUACCGGACACGUGGGUGGGUGAGACUGCCUGGGUUCCUUUGUGUGUGGGGCUGGGUCCCACAGUUCCCAGAAAGGCACUCUGUCUGUGGAUGGAUGCUGAACUGCUGUUGAGUGGGGGGACAUGGCGAGGGGUAUCUUAUUCAGCCACGAUGCUGACAUCUCCACAAAGUGUUUAAGGGAACUGUAUGAACAAAGUACCACCUUCAGGGGACUGGACAGUUUAAAGUGAAAAAAGGCCUCUGGGCUCCCAAUUUGCUAAGGGCAGUAAGAGUUUAAGAGUUGCUCAAAGGGCACAUUUUUCAGAGUGAGCAAGAGGCGCUGG